CUCUUGACAUACCAAAGAACUUUCCAAGAUCGGAUUGGUGCCUUCAGGAACUCUGAGACAGGUGCUGCAUGGCUGUCGUCAGCUCGUGUCGUGAAAUGUUGGGUUAAGUCCCGCAACGAGCGCAACCCUUAUCCUUGUUUGCCAGCGAGUAAUGUCGGGAACUCCAGGGAGACUGCCGGUGAUAAACCGGAGGAAGGUGGGGACGACGUCAAGUCAUCAUGGCCCUUACGAGUAGGGCUACACACGUGCUACAAUGGCGCAUACAGAGGGCGGCCAACUUGCGAAAGUGAGCGAAUCCCAAAAAGUGCGUCGUAUCCGGAUUGGAGUCUGCAACUCGACUCCAUGGAGUCGGAAUCGCUAGUAAUCG
rnacentral:rRNA from 1 species